rnacentral:rRNA from 1 species
GACCACGAUCCAACCCUAAAUACUAAUACCAGAUCGAUAGUGCACAAGUACCGUGAGGGAAAGGUGAAAAGAACUGAGGUGAUCAGAGUGAAAUAGAACCUGAAACCAUUUGCUUACAAUCAUUCAGAGCACUAUGUAGCAAUACAGUGUGAUGGACUGCCUUUUGCAUAAUGAGCCUGCGAGUUGUGGUGUCUGGCAAGGUUAAGCAAACGCGAAGCCGUAGCGAAAGCGAGUCUGAAUAGGGCGCUUAGUCAGAUGCUGCAGACCCGAAACGAAGUGAUCUAUCCAUGAGCAAGUUGAAGCUAGUGUAAGAACUAGUGGAGGACUGAACCCAUAGGCGUUGAAAAGCCCCGGGAUGACUUGUGGAUAGGGGUGAAAGGCCAAUCAAACUUCGUGAUAGCUGGUUCUCUCCGAAAUAUAUUUAGGUAUAGCGUUGUGUCGUAAUAUAAGGGGGUAGAGCACUGAAUGGGCUAGGGCAUACACCAAUGUACCAAACCCUAUCAAACUCCGAAUACCUUAUAUGUAAUCACAGCAGUCAGGCGGCGAGUGAUAAAAUCCGUCGUCAAGAGGGAAACAACCCAG